rnacentral:rRNA from 1 species
GAUGAACGCUGGCGGCGUGCCUAAUACAUGCAAGUCGAGCGAACAGACGAGGAGCUUGCUCCUCUGACGUUAGCGGCGGACGGGUGAGUAACACGUGGAUAACCUACCUAUAAGACUGGGAUAACUUCGGGAAACCGGAGCUAAUACCGGAUAAUAUAUUGAACCGCAUGGUUCAAUAGUGAAAGACGGUUUUGCUGUCACUUAUAGCUGGAUCCGCGCCGCAUUAGCUAGUUGGUAAGGUAACGGCUUACCAAGGCAACGAUGCGUAGCCGACCUGAGAGGGUGAUCGGCCACACUGGAACUGAGACACGGUCCAGACUCCUACGGGAGGCAGCAGUAGGGAAUCUUCCGCAAUGGGCGAAAGCCUGACGCAGCCACGCCGCGUGAGUGAUGAAGGUCUUCGGAUCGUAAAACUCUUUUAUUAGGGAAGAACAAAUGUGUAAGUAACUCUGCACGUCUUGACGGUACCUAAUCAGAAAGCCACGGCUAACUACGUG